GAGUUUGAUCCUGGCUCAGGACGAACGCUGGCUGCGUGCUUAACACAUGCAAGUCGAACGGUUAGGCCCCAGCUUGCUGGGGUACACGAGUGGCGAACGGGUGAGUAACACGUGGGUGACCUGCCCCGCACUUCGGGAUAAGCCUGGGAAACUGGGUCUAAUACCGGAUAGGACCGCACCGUGAGGGUGUGGUGGAAAGUUUUUCGGUGUGGGAUGGGCCCGCGGCCUAUCAGCUUGUUGGUGGGGUAAUGGCCUACCAAGGCGGCGACGGGUAGCCGGCCUGAGAGGGUGGACGGCCACAUUGGGACUGAGACACGGCCCAGACUCCUACGGGAGGCAGCAGUGGGGAAUAUUGCACAAUGGGCGGAAGCCUGAUGCAGCGACGCCGCGUGGGGGAUGACGGCCUUCGGGUUGUAAACUCCUUUCACCAUCGACGAAGGUUUUCUGACGGUAGAUGGAGAAGAAGCACCGGCUAACUACGUGCCAGCAGCCGCGGUAAUACGUAGGGUGCGAGCGUUGUCCGGAAUUACUGGGCGUAAAGAGCUCGUACGUGGUUUGUCGCGUCGUCUGUGACAAUCCGGGGCUUAACUCCGGGCGUGCAGGCGAUACGGGCAUAACUUGAGUACUGUAGGGGAGACUGGAAUUCCUGGUGUAGCGGUGAAAUGCGCAGAUAUCAGGACGACACACCGGUGGCGAAGGCGGGUCUCUGGGCAGUAACUGACGCUGAGGAGCGAAAGCAUGGGUAGCGAACAGGAUUAGAUACCCUGGUAGUCCAUGCCGUAAACGGUGGGCGCUAGGUGUAGGGGUCUUCCACGACUUCUGUGCCGUAGCUAACGCAUUAAGCGCCCCGCCUGGGGAGUACGGCCGCAAGGCUAAAACUCAAAGGAAUUGACGGGGGCCCGCACAAGCGGCGGAGCAUGUGGAUUAAUUCGAUGCAACGCGAAGAACCUUACCUGGGCUUGACAUAUACGGGACCGGGCCAGAGAUGGUCCUUCCCUUGUGGCUCGUAUACAGGUGGUGCAUGGUUGUCGUCAGCUCGUGUCGUGAGAUGUUGGGUUAAGUCCCGCAACGAGCGCAACCCUUGUCUUAUGUUGCCAGCACGUAAUGGUGGGGACUCGUGAGAAACUGCCGGGGUCAACUCGGAGGAAGGUGGGGAUGACGUCAAAUCAUCAUGCCCCUUAUGUCCAGGGCUUCACACAUGCUACAAUGGUCGGUACAGUGGGUUGCGAUGCCGUGAGGUGGCGCUAAUCCCUGAAAGCCGGUCUCAGUUCGGAUCGGGGUCUGCAACUCGACCCCGUGAAGUCGGAGUCGCUAGUAAUCGCAGAUCAGCAACGCUGCGGUGAAUACGUUCCCGGGCCCCUUGUACACACCGCCC
rnacentral:rRNA from 1 species